GNNCUUGUAGCUCAAUGGAUAGAGCUGUGGCGUCCUAAGCCAUAGAUGCGGGUUCGAUUCCUGCCAAGGGCA
rnacentral:tRNA from 1 species